UGGGGAAUAUUGCACAAUGGGCGCAAGCCUGAUGCAGCGACGCCGCGUGCGGGAUGACGGCCUUCGGGUUGUAAACCGCUUUUGACUGGGAGCAAGCCCUUCGGGGUGAGUGUACCUUUCGAAUAAGCACCGGCUAA
rnacentral:rRNA from 1 species